CUUCGGGUCUAGUGGCGCACGGGUGCGUAACGCGUGGGAAUCUGCCCUUAGGUACGGAAUAACUCAGAGAAAUUUGUGCUAAUACCGUAUGAUGUCGAAAGACCAAAGAUUUAUCGCCUAAGGAUGAGCCCGCGUAAGAUUAGCUUGUUGGUGAGGUAAAAGCUCACCAAGGCGACGAUCUUUAGCUGGUCUGAGAGGAUGAUCAGCCACACUGGGACUGAGACACGGCCCAGACUCCUACGGGAGGCAGCAGUGGGGAAUAUUGGACAAUGGGCGAAAGCCUGAUCCAGCAAUGCCGCGUGAGUGAUGAAGGCCUUAGGGUUGUAAAGCUCUUUUACCAGGGAUGAUAAUGACAGUACCUGGAGAAUAAGCUCCGGCUAACUCCGUGCCAGCAGCCGCGGUAAUACGGAGGGAGCUAGCGUUGUUCGGAAUUACUGGGCGUAAAGAGUACGUAGGCGGUUAUUCAAGUCAGAGGUGAAAGCCUGGAGCUCAACUC
rnacentral:rRNA from 1 species